GUGAGAAGGCAGGGCCAGCCCAGAGGAGCUCAGGUGCAUGCAGUGCUGCUGAGUGAUGAAGGGUGAAGCCAGGAUCCUCCCCUUCCCAGCCCUCAUUUAAGGGUUGGCAGUGGAGGUGAAGGUAUCUCUUGCUGGAGAUCCCUGCAUAGCUGAGGCCUUGUAAGGCCUCCCUCCCGACAGCACUGCCCACCAGAAGCCCACUCCUCUCUCCAGAGAAGAACACCAUCCGCCAGUGCUGGCUUUCAGCUGCAAGAAAUGGCACAACUAAAAAAACUGUGGUGAUGCAACAGCACCCAAGGGGUUACAGCCACCCAAUAAGCAUUGCUUUACUCAAAGGAGAAAAUGAUAUAAAAAUCCUGCCAGCCUAUUUCUAUGACAUUCCCCUUCUUUGGAGGGCAGCAAUCAAUGCUGAGGAUCUGCACGACAAUCAGUUCCUGUGAGAUUGGGGGGAUCUCUGCCUCUGCACUGAAUGCUGAGCGAGUCUAUAAAUCCAGUUAGUCACACUUGCUGGAUUACAUUGGACCUUGCACUUAUGCUUUUAUUAACAAGAUUGUUUACUAUAUAAGAAGCUUUAUAUAACUCUGAAUCAGGCGUGAUUUGUGUAACGGCACAGAUGACGUGCAUUGCCAGCCAUCAGUUUUCCCUGUGCUCAUGUUAACCUCCAGCUCCCAGCCUGUGCUUAAAAAAUAAAUAAAAACCUCACUAAGAUAAUUAAAUA